GAUGAACGCUGGCGGCGUGCCUAAUACGUGCAAGUCGAGCGAAUGGAUUAAGAGCUUGCUCUUAUGAAGUUAGCGGCGGACGGGUGAGUAACACGUGGGUAACCUGCCCAUAAGACUGGGAUAACUCCGGGAAACCGGGGCUAAUACCGGAUAACAUUUUGAACCGCAUGGUUCGAAAUUGAAAGGCGGCUUCGGCUGUCACUUAUGGAUGGACCCGCGUCGCAUUAGCUAGUUGGUGAGGUAACGGCUGACAAAGGCAACGAUGCGUAGCCGACCUGAGAGGGUGAUCGGCCACGCGGGGACUGGGACACGGCCCAGACUCCUACGGGAGGCAGCAGUAGGGAAUCUUCCGCAAUGGACGAAAGUCUGACGGAGCAACGCCGCGUGAGUGAUGAAGGCUUUAGGGUCGUAAAACUCUGUUGUUAGGGAAGAACAAGUGCUAGUUGAAUAAGCUGGCACCUUGACGGUACCUAACCAGAAAGCCACGGCUAACUACGUGCCAGCCGCCGCCGCGG
rnacentral:rRNA from 1 species